rnacentral:rRNA from 1 species
UGUCGUCAGCUCGUGUCGUGAGAUGUUGGGUUAAGUCCCGCAACGAGCGCAACCAUUGCCCUAUGUUGCCACUCUGGUCCUAGCAAUAGGUAUCGGAAGCACUCUUAGGGGACUGCCUGGGACAACCAGGAGGAAGGUGGAGAUGACGUCAAGUCAGUACGGCCUUUAUGCCCAGGGCGACACACGUGUUACAAUGGAUAUUACAAAGGGUUGCCAACCCGCGAGGGGGAGCUAAUCUCAAAAAAGUAUCCUCAGUUCGGAUUGGAGUCUGCAAUUCGACUCCAUGAAGCCGGAAUCGCUAGUAAUGGUGGAUCAGCACGCCACCGUGAAUACGUUCCCGGGCCUUGUACACACCGCCCGUCAAGCGAUGGGAGCCGGGAGUACCCGAAGUCCUACGUAGGUAGGCCCAAGGUAAAACUGGUGACUGGCGCUAAGUCGUAACAAGGUAGCCGUACGGGAACGUGCGGCUGGAUCACCUCCUUU